AGCGAAGCAGCAGGGCCAGGCAGCUCAGAUCUCGAACUCCAGAGAACUGCACAGUCAUCUAGACAUCAAUGCCUUUUCCGGGGCCUGAUGAACAUCUCAAUCCCCAACCCACUAGCUCGAGUGGGGCGCAAGAUGUGGUGGACAAGUCAGCUCAGGCCCGGUCAUUAAGUGUCCCCAACAACCCUCCUGGAGGGAACUGAGGACGAAGCACCAGUUGUAAUAACGGCACGCUUCAUUUAUCUUUAUCUCGACUUGUUUUAUUUGGUAUUUAAUUCUUCCAUUAGCCUUGCGAAACAGACAAAGGCAAAGAUCAUUCUACCCACGGGACAGACUGGGGAAGAGGCCCAGGGUCCAUCAAGUAAACCCUCUGCCGCCAGGCUGCUGGAACUGGAGCUGGCCCACGCUAUUGGCAGACUGCUGUUACCUAACUGCCAACUAAAGCUUGCCAUGACUUUGCUUUGAGGCUAUGGCCUGUUAGACCAAAAGAUGCAUCAAUCAGGACAACCAAAGGAAGUAGGACAGAGGCUGCGUGCUCCACCACUGAAUCAAGAAGGGGAAACAAACAAUAAUCAAUACCAAAUUGGAGAGCUGCACCGUUUGAACCUUUGACCUUAAACAAAAUUUUAAGAAAUAUCAUGAAGCAACCUAUUCAAUCUUAGAGCACUGAAUCUCUGAUUUAAGGAAUUCUCCUGAAUCACAGCUUUAUGAACCAAAAAGAAGAAGAUGCUUGAAUUUCAUCAACUGCACGUCUCAAAUUUAUUCAACUUUCGAGGCUUCAUUUACAAUCACAUAAAGUAACCAAUGAUUUGUUGUGCGUUUAGCAACUUAACAUUACUUGGCCCAGUGAGAAGCUCUGUGGCUAAGAAAUCCUUUAUUUUGAUGAAUUCAUUUCACUGGAACUGAGUGUUGACUGCAGCUAUGUUCUGUUAGGAACUGCGAAGAUAUACAAGAAAUGAGAUGUGACUCCCAUCUUAAUAGCCCGUGGUUUUGUAAUGUUAGGUCAACAACACAUGAAACAAGUAGGAAACACUUUAAAGCAAGAUAUAACAAUGGGCCAACCCUAUUGUACAAUUAAUUUCUCCAAAA
rnacentral:lncRNA from 1 species